rnacentral:rRNA from 1 species
GAACCAGCGGAGGGAUCAUUAUAGAGUCUUACAAACUCCCAACCCAUGUGAACUUACCUUUUGUUGCCUCGGCAGAAGUUAUAGGUCUUCUUAUAGCUGCUGCCGGUGGACCAUAAGACUCUGGUUAUUUUAUGUAAUCUGAGCGUCUUAUUUUAAUAAGUCAAAACUUUCAACAACGGAUUUCUUGGUUCUGGCAUCGAUGAAGAACGCAGCGAAAUGCGAUAAGUAAUGUGCCAUGCAGAAUUCAGUGAAUCAUCGAAUCUUUGAACGCACAUUGCGCCCAUUAGUAUUCUAGUGGGCAUGCCUGUUCGAGCGUCAUUUCAACCCUUAAGCGUAGCUUAGUGUUGGGAAUCUACUUCUCCUAGGAGUUGUAGUUCCUGAAAUACAAGCGGCGGAUUAGUAGUAUCCUCUGAGCGUAGUAAUUUUUUUCUCGCUUUGGUUAGGUGCUAUCACUCCCAGCCGCUAAACCCCCAAUUUUUUGUGGUCGACCUCGGAUGCAGGUAGGAAUACCCUGCU